rnacentral:rRNA from 1 species
ACUCAAAGGAAUUGACGGGGACCCGCACAAGCGGUGGAACAUGUGGUUUAAUUCGAGGCAACGCGAAGAACCUUACCAAGACUUGACAUGCCCUCUAUGAGCUCCCGAAAAGGAGCUCUUCACUUCGGGUGGGAGGUGCACAGGUGCUGCAUGGCUGUCGUCAGCUCGUGUCGUGAGAUGUUGGGUUAAGUCCCGCAACGAGCGCAACCCUCAUUCUCUGUUGCUACCAUUUAGUUGAGCACUCUGAGAAAACUGCCGGUGAUAAGCCGGAGGAAGGUGGGGAUGACGUCAAGUCCUCAUGGCCCUUACGUCUUGGGCUACACACGUGUUACAAUGGCGAUGACAAUGGGUCGCUAACUCGCAAGAGUAUGCCAAUCUCAAAAAGUCGCCUCAGUUCGGAUUGUACUCUGCAACUCGAGUACAUGAAGUUGGAAUCGCUAGUAAUCGCGGAUCAGCACGCCGCGGUGAAUACGUUCCCGGGUCUUGUACACACCGCCCGU